ACAGGACACCUGACCCAAACUGACCAAAGAGGUCUUCCUCAUCCAGAACCAUAAAGACUACAAAGAAAGUAAGAACAUUUGCCUGGCAAAGCUGCUGGUGAUGCACAGGGUAGGACUGACAUUUACCUUGGUUUUGAGCAGAGAGGAGAGCUGGACUGGUUUAACAAUAACAUGAUGACUCAAAGAACUCUGCAUACCAGUCUGUUGUAAUCCAAAUGAAAACAAAAUUUGAAGAUGUUAAUGAAAUAAGUCUGGAGAAUAUUCAAGCUGCUAAAGGGACUGGUAAAUGUAAGUAUAAGUAGAACAAAGUUUCAUGGCUCUUGCCACAUGUCACUGAGAGACUGGUGGUGCAAUCCAUACUUAAACACCAAGAAGCUAUACAAGAUGAAAAGCACUGCCUGCAUAUAUAUGUCCUCCUCCUUCUCAAAAUCCUUUGUGGACAAUGGCUAAUUGCAUAAUAAAAAAAUCGGAAGAAUUUGUAAUACAUGAAGUCAUGCUGUCAAUAGUUAAGAAAGUGGAAAGUAUUUUGAAGAUUCCUAGGGGUAGGAUGACACUAACAAGCUGGUUGAAAUUUCUACUAAAUGCUAUUAGAGAACACAGGUAAUGCUAAGCAUCAAAGCAGUUUCUAACCAGAAGAGCUAUCUUUCUUAACGGCGCACUCUCUUAGCAAUUAAAAUACAUUUUCUGAUAUUUAUUCUAUUUUCUGGAUAACAUAGUUGAAAAUUAUGGGGAAUUUUCAACAAGCUUCUGCUAGACGGAUAUCAUUGUUUCCAUAGCCAAAUUUUAUAUGUAUUGGAUCUUUUUAGUGAUCUUCAGCAUGGGUACCAGCAUCUGUACAUAUAUGAGGAAUAAAUUCUUUCUUACACCUAG